CCUACGGGUGGCAGCAGUGAGGAAUAUUGGUCAAUGGGCGGAAGCCUGAACCAGCCAAGUAGCGUGCAGGAUGACGGCCCUACGGGUUGUAAACUGCUUUUAUACGGGAAUAACGCGCCUUACGUGUAGGGCUUUGCAUGUACCGUAUGAAUAAGGACCGGCUAAUUCCGUGCCAGCAGCCGCGGUAAUACGGAGGGUCCGGGCGUUAUCCGGAUUUAUUGGGUUUAAAGGGAGCGUAGGCGGCAUGUCAAGCGUGCUGUGAAAUGUCCGGGCUCAACCCGGGCCUUGCAGCGCAGACUGGCGAGCUUGAGUCCGCGGGAGGCAGGUGGAAUUCGUCGUGUAGCGGUGAAAUGCUUAGAUAUGACGAAGAACACCGAUGGCGAAGGCAGCUUGCUGGAGCGGAACUGACGCUGAUGCUCGAAAGCGUGGGUAGCGAACAGGAUUAGAUACCCCAGUAGUC
rnacentral:rRNA from 1 species